rnacentral:tRNA from 1 species
GGAUAUAGCUAAGUUGGUAGAGUGCUUUCCUAGCAUGUACAAUGCUCUGGGUUCAAUUCCCAGCACCA